rnacentral:rRNA from 1 species
UACGAAGGGGGCUAGCGUUGCUCGGAAUCACUGGGCGUAAAGGGUGCGUAGGCGGGUCUUUAAGUCAGGGGUGAAAUCCUGGAGCUCAACUCCAGAACUGCCUUUGAUACAGCACGUCUUGAGUCCGGAAGAGGUGGGUGGAAUUCCUAGUGUAGAGGUGAAAUUCGUAGAUAUUAGGAAGAACACCGGUGGCGAAGGCGGCCCACUGGUCCGGUACUGACGCUGAGGUGCGAAAGCGUGGGGAGCAAACAGG